rnacentral:rRNA from 1 species
UACGGAGGAUGCGAGCGUUAUCCGGAUUUAUUGGGUUUAAAGGGUGCGUAGACGGGUUAUCAAGUCAGCGGUAAAAUCGUGGAGCUCAACUCCAUCCAGCCGUUGAAACUGAUGAUCUUGAGUGGGCGAGAAGUAUGCGGAAUGCGUGGUGUAGCGGUGAAAUGCAUAGAUAUCACGCAGAACUCCGAUUGCGAAGGCAGCAUACCGGCGCCCGACUGACGCUGAAGCACGAAAGCGUGGGUAUCGAACAGG